rnacentral:rRNA from 1 species
GGGGUAGAGGCCCGCCGCGGUAACGACGGGUAACGGGGAAUCAGGGUUCGAUUCCGGAGAGGGAGCCCGAGAAACGGCUACCACUUCCAAGGAAGGCAGCAGGGCGCGGCAACUUACCCUAAUCUCGAUUCGAGGAGGUAGUGACAAGAAAUACCGAUGCGGGACCCUACGGGUGCCGCGUUCGGAAUGAGUACGAUUCGAACCACCUAACGAGGAACGAUCGGAGGGCAAGUCUGGUGCCAGCAGCCGCGGUAAUUCCAGCUCCAAUAGCGUACGUUAAAGUUGCUGCAGUUAAAAAGCUCGUAGUUGAACGUUCGGGUUCCGCGGGACGGGGCCGCCCCGCGAGGGACGGCGCCGCCCCGGGGCUCGUGAUAUCUUAUCUCGCCGCCCGUCGCGAGGCGGACGGAGGGAUGGAUGAGGUUACCUGGAAAAAAAUC